rnacentral:lncRNA from 1 species
GUGUUAUGUAGGUUGCACAGGCAGGUUUAAAAGGAAGAGUAGCUGUAAUACAUCCCUUCUCCACACUUUCAGGUUUCUAAAGCCAUCGGCUUAGUAGACUUGGCAUCUUGACUUCACCUGGGAACACUGCAGGAUCUCGGUGUUUAACUUGCCUGUAUGCUUAACCCUGCAGAGACAUGCUUCAGGUUGUCAGAGAUCAGUGUUUUCUGAUCCUCUCCUUUUCCAGUAAACCAUCUCAUCGUCCUCCAUCCCCAUUAUGGUAGAGUGGAAGGAAGGAGAGCACCAGGAUUUGGAAGAAUGGCUCUCAUAACAGAGAGGCCUCCAGCUAUCCCCCGUGGCUCCCUUUAUUCAUUUAAAUGCAUCAUCAGAAAGUCAGAAGGCCUUCUCCCUAAUACACCAGGCAUAAAAAUGGAACCUGAAAGCAUAAUGAUAGAAGUACAUGGUGUAGUUUGCAGAGUUCAGUAUAUUUAAAUCUUGGAGUGGAA